UACGGAGGGUGCAAACGUUGCUCGGAAUCAUUGGGCGUAAAGCGCGCGUAGGCGGUUGCUUAAGUCGGAUGUGAAAGCCCUCGGCUUAACUGAGGAAGUGCAUCCGAAACUGAGCAGCUAGAGUACGAAAGAGGGUCGCGGAAUUCCCGGUGUAGAGGUGAAAUUCGUAGAUAUCGGGAGGAACACCGGUGGCGAAGGCGGCAUCCUGGACCGGCAUUGACGCUGAGGCGCGAAAGCCAGGGGAGCAAAGCGGG
rnacentral:rRNA from 1 species